AGUGAACGCUGGCGGUAGGCCUAACACAUGCAAGUCGAACGGCAGCACAGUAAGAGCUUGCUCUUACGGGUGGCGAGUGGCGGACGGGUGAGGAAUACAUCGGAAUCUACUUUUUCGUGGGGGAUAACGUAGGGAAACUUACGCUAAUACCGCAUACGACCUACGGGUGAAAGCAGGGGAUCUUCGGACCUUGCGCGAUUGAAUGAGCCGAUGUCGGAUUAGCUAGUUGGCGGGGUAAAGGCCCACCAAGGCGACGAUCCGUAGCUGGUCUGAGAGGAUGAUCAGCCACACUGGAACUGAGACACGGUCCAGACGCCUACGGGAGGCAGCAGUGGGGAAUAUUGGACAAUGGGCGCAAGCCUGAUCCAGCCAGCCCGCGUGGGUGAAGAAGGCCUUCGGGUUGUAAAGCCCUUUUGUUGGGAAAGAAAAGCAUCAGGUUAAUACCCCGCUGUUCUGACGGUACCCAAAGAAUAAGCACCGGCUAACUUCGUG
rnacentral:rRNA from 1 species